CUAAGGUAGCCUCCAGAGCAUGCAGGACCUAGCUGGUCUUCCCUGGUCUCCUACCCCUUGGGGGCAAUGAGCACAGGGAGAUCCAGGAAUGCCUCCUGCAGCCCUGAUCCCCUAGUGUCUUCAUCAUCUGCCAGGUUAUUUCCUGAGCCCAAGCACCCAUUCUUGUGCUGCCUGAGCCACCUGUUGAACUUGGAGGCAGCUGCUGGUUAUCAGUUUCAGAAAAAUCAUUAAUAAACAUUUCAGAAGACAUGGAGAAAUAAGACUCUGGAUACUACCAGGGAAGACAACUAGAGAUGCAAAUUCUUGUUGAGAGAAUAGUUGGGAUAUCUUGUAAAUACCGUGGCCUUGCUAACACUCUAUUAAACUCAGUUUGAUA